rnacentral:rRNA from 1 species
UACGGAGGGAGCUAGCGUUAUUCGGAAUUACUGGGCGUAAAGCGCACGUAGGCGGCUUUGUAAGUAAGAGGUGAAAGCCUGGAGCUCAACUCCAGAACUGCCUUUUAGACUGCAUCGCUUGAAUCCAGGAGAGGUGAGUGGAAUUCCGAGUGUAGAGGUGAAAUUCGUAGAUAUUACGGAAGAACACCAGUGGCGAAGGCGGCUCACUGGACUGGUAUUGACGCUGAGGUGCGAAAGCGUGGGGAGCAAACAGG